GCAUAUCAAUAAGCGGAGGAAAAGAAACCAACAGGGAUUGCCCUAGUAACGGCGAGUGAAGCGGCAACAGCUCAAAUUUGAAAUCUGGCCUCGGCCCGAGUUGUAAUUUGUAGAGGAAGCUUUUGGCGCGGCACCUUCUGAGUCCCCUGGAACGGGGCGCCAUAGAGGGUGAGAGCCCCGUAUAGUUGGAUGCCUAGCCUCUGUAAAGCUCCUUCGACGAGUCGAGUAGUUUGGGAAUGCUGCUCAAAACGGGAGGUAAAUUUCUUCUAAAGCUAAAUACCGGCCAGAGACCGAUAGCGCACAAGUAGAGUGAUCGAAAGAUGAAAAGCACUUUGAAAAGAGGGUUAAAUAGCACGUGAAAUUGUUGAAAGGGAAGCGCUUGUGACCAGACUUGCGCCGGGCUGAUCAUCCGGUGUUCUCACCGGUGCACUCUGCCCGGCUCAGGCCAGCAUCGGUUCUCGCGGGGGGAUAAAGGCCCUGGGAACGUAGCUCCUCCGGGAGUGUUAUAGCCCAGGGCGCAAUGCCCUCGCGGGGACCGAGGCUCGCGCUCUGCAAGGAUG
rnacentral:rRNA from 1 species